UCAUUUUGCUCCGUAUGUAGCCUCCUAGUGAAAUAUCUAAAAAGACUUAUAUUUAGGAACGGAGGGAGUAUUCUGAAAUGUAGACCAUAUAACAGCAUUACUUCUUUAAUUUGACACUUUUUCAAGUGGGUAGUUAUGCUUAGGUUCUUCGUAUGAUUCUGUCCUGUAGUCUGAACUCCAUUAUUGUUCAUUAUUCAAAAUAUCUCAAUAUAAUAAUUUACUAGGAUAAUUGUAACCACAUGAAAAAAAGAAUGACAUAGCUAGCUUUUUUGCAGAUGUCUUUCCUUAGCCUAAAUGGCACAAUGUACAAGCAUGUAUAAAUCCAGUGAUUAACUUAUCUUUCACAUCAGUAUUCAUCUAGUCAUUUGAUAAGUUAUCAUUUUUUUCUGUUUUAUGAAAUGGAUAAAGAUCAUAUAAAUUUCUUUUCUUAGUGGGUACUUGAAAGAUAUGUAAACAAGGCUGGCUCUUUCCCUUUAAUAAAUAAGUGUCGAAUCUGUAGUUCUGCAUUUUUUUCCUUCAAGCUUUGAGUGGUUUGUCCGAUUACCAUAUUUUGAAGAAAUUUAGAUCUGUCUGAUUGAAUUAUUGUCCAGCAGUACAUCGAGAAUAAUUUGUGGUUCCCGUAAUACUUAUUUUAUUGUGAUUUUGCUCAUGUUAUUACGGACCAGUUUUACAGCGAAUGCAUUUGUUCCGUGUCAGCAGUAAAUUUGGUUUGUCGUCUCAUGUAGCUAGACUGCCAGGUGCCAACCAAUCUAGUUGCUACUAGUACUGAAACAACACACAGUUUUUUUUCUUCUCCUCAAUCAGACUCUGACUAGGAGUUCUUCUAAUUCCAAACCUUUCUUUUUGUCAUGUCAAAGCAUAUUUGUUGGCUACAUAUAUUUUCUGAAAGAAAGGAUAAUUUGAGCUUUCUUUCCUUGGUAGUCCUCCUGGUUGCUCUUAACAUGGAUGUGAUAAAUAGGCGCCGAGAAGGAAUUUCUCAUAGGUUUCAUAAGUUCUAAGUACUCCCUCCUUUCCUAAAUAUAAGUCUUUUUAGAGAUUACACUAUGGACUACACUCUAAAGCAUGUGUAUAUACAUCCGUAUGUAGUCCGUAAUGAAAUCUCUAAAAGGACUUGUAUUUAGGAACGGAGGGAGUACCAUACAGUACAGCUUGCUUUUAGAAAUAAGUUCUAGAUUAGCUUGUUAAGUCUCUUCUGUGAUCAUGUUCACUUAUGUGCUGUGCUGAUGUACUGGGCUACAUGUUACCAGUUGCAACCAAGGAUGCGCUUCGUAAAGGUGCAAAUAAGUUUCUGAAUCUAGUUAUGACGGUGAUGAAUGCUCAGAUUACAGGUGCAAGUAAUGCUGAUGUAUUAGGCAGACAUGCAGUCAGGUACAGAUAAGCAUGCUCUGUGAUAAGCUUGCUUCCGGUUCUCUUUCUGUUGUUCUCUCUACCUUUUCUCUUGUGUGUGGGGCGCUACUUGUUGUAGCCGUUGUGUUUGUAUCUCUCGAUCUUGGUUUUGAAAUUGAAAAUUGUUCUGGCCGGCUUUUGCCCACCGUAGCAGCGUCAAAAAGGGGUUUACAAACUUCUGAAUGAAGGUACGACGGUGAUGAGGUCUGAGACUGUGCAGACUACAGGUGCAAGAGAUGACGGCGUUCUGGAGAUAUGCGGCCGGGGAGGUACGUGUAUGCGAAGAGGCGAUCCUGAGUUUCUGUUUCAGAGGCGUUGCAGAGCGAGCAGUUCAGACCCUCCUCGUCCUCGACCAUUGUCAUGAACACAAUUCUCAUUGAAGGUGCUGGCGUUACUGAAGGGGUGACUAGAGUUAAUAGUCGGGGUAUAUAUAUUGAGGGAGAUAACACUUGCUUGAAAUGAGAAGGUUAAUAUCUAAGUAUGUGGGUUUGUAAAAUCUGAGAUCUUGAGAACAAGAGAAUACUCUGAUGUAAUAUGAUUUGUGAAACUUCAUGACUAAAGAAACAAAUUGUGGUCUUCUUUUCUUUUUUCUUUUUCUGUUGGACUGCUACUUGAGGGCAUGAUAUUGUUUUGCUCCUGGACUGCUAUUUGAAGGCAUGAGGUUAACCAGGCACCGACAAUAUCUUGAGUUAAUUAUUGUAUAAAUACAUUAUAGUGAUCUUUAUUGUUUUUGUUAUAUUCAUAUAGUAUCAGUUUUUUCACUUAAGCACGUAAUUGCCUACCGACUAGGAUG